UACAGAGGGGGCAAGCGUUGUUCGGAAUUACUGGGCGUAAAGGGCGCGUAGGCGCCUGUUAAGUCGAACGUGAAAUCCCCGGGCUCAACCCGGGAACUGCGUCCGAUACUGGCAGGCUUGAGUUCGGGAGAGGGAUGCGGAAUUCCAGGUGUAGCGGUGAAAUGCGUAGAUAUCUGGAGGAACACCGGUGGCGAAGGCGGCGAUCCUGGACC
rnacentral:rRNA from 1 species